GACGAACGCUGGCGGCGCGCUUAACACAUGCAAGUCGAACGGAAAGGCCUGCUUUCCCUUGUGGAUUGCGGGUACUCGAGUGGCGAACGGGUGAGUAACACGUGAGUGAUCUGCCCCCAACUUGGGUAUAAGCCUGGGAAACUGGGUCUAAUUCCCGAUAGGACUGCAGGGUGGUGCCUGUGGUGGAAAACGAUUUUCUAGUGGUUGGGGAUGAGCUCGCGGCCUAUCAGCUUGUUGGUGGGGUAAUGGCCUACCAAGGCGGCGACGGGUAGCCGGCCUGAGAGGGUGGACGGCCACAUUGGGACUGAGAUACGGCCCAGACUCCUACGGGAGGCAGCAGUGGGGAAUAUUGCACAAUGGGCGGAAGCCUGAUGCAGCGACGCCGCGUGGGGGAUGACGGCCUUCGGGUGGUAAACUCCUUUCGACCGCGAGGAAGCCACCUGGUUGGAAGGGUGGUGAUGGUAGUGGUAGAAGAAGCACCGGCUAACUACGUG
rnacentral:rRNA from 1 species